CCUGUUCUACAGAGUCACAGGCAAGCUGGAGCCUAUCCCAGCUGACUAUGGGUGAGAAGUGGGGUACAUCCUGGACAAGUUGCCAGGUUAUUGCCGGGCUGACACAGAGACAAACAACCAUUCACACUCUCAUUCAUACCUACGGUCAAUUUAGAGCCACCAAUUAACCUAACCUGCAUGUCUUUGGACUGUGGGGGAAACCGGAGCACCCGGAGGAAACCCAUGCGGACACGGGGAGAACAUGCAAACUCCGCACAGAAAGGCCCUCACCAGCCGCUGUGCUCAAACCCAGGACCUUCUUGCUGUGAGGCAACAGUGCUAACCAGUACACCACCGUGUAUUGGCUUUGAUGCCAACCCUUUCCCCGGGUCAGCAUCGGAUGUGAGCAGAAUGAUACACACAGUGAUGGGUUUAUACACCUGCGGGGCGGGACCGCGCAGGCGCACUCUUCAACAGUUUCAACAGACACCAACAAUUUCUUCAACAGUUUCAACAGACACCACUUCAGUCCAGUCCACUCACUGUAUGCAGCACUUGGUAGACUUUUUUGGUACAAGGGGCUGAGCACAAGGCUAAUGAUGACGUGUGAUUGUAGAGAGGGGUGCUCUCUGAGGGCGCAGUCACACCAGGAAGUUUGGUUAGUUUCCUUCGUUGGUUUGGUUCAUUUGUAGUGGUGUGAUCGCUGAUUAAAUCGCAUGUGUGAAGACUUUGUACCAAUACCAUACACUGCCUCUUUCUUUCUUUCUUUCUUUCUUUCUUUCUUUCUUUCUUUCUUUCUUUCUUUCUUUCUUUCUUUCUUUCCCACCCAAUUUUUAAAGCCAUGGUUCACUUGACAUGCUGGGCCUGUGUGAACUUCAGGACAUUUUGGUGUGAAAGCAACCUCUCUUAUCGGUACCUCAGCAACAGCAUGCAUAAAGUUCACUUUACAAGCCUGGACCGUGAACUUGAGUACAUUUUGGUGUGAAAGCCAUCUGUUUUAUAUCCAUGUUUUACUUGUAUGGUGUUUAGAAUACAGUUCAGCACUUAAUCCAUGUUUUGCAUAUAUAGUAAUAUAUAUGAUGCAGUUCAGCACUUUGAACAUUGUUGACAUUGUUUAACUUUUUUAGCACUGUUCAUUAUUGCACUGUGCCAGAAAUUUU